GACGAACGCUGGCGGCGUGCUUAACACAUGCAAGUCGAACGGAGUGGAGAACGGGUGAGUAAGACGUGGGUGAACUGCCUUGCCCUACGGGAUAAGCUUGGGAAACUGGGUCUAAUACCGGAUAGUGCAAGAUGAGCCCGCGGCCUAUCAGAUUGUUGGUGGGGUAAUGGCCUACCAAGGCGUCGACGGGUAGCCGGCCUGAGAGGGUGUACGGCCACAUGGGGACUUCGAUACGGCCCAGACUCCUACGGGAGGCAGCAGUGGGGAAUAUUGCACAAUGGGCGGAAGCCAGAUGCAGCGGCUCCGCGUGGGGGAUGAAGUCCUUCGAGUUGUAAACUCCUUUCGCCAGGGACGCGGUACCUGUAUAAGAAGCACCGGCUAACUACGUGCCAGCCGCCGCGGUAAUAC
rnacentral:rRNA from 1 species